AGCAGCAGCCGCGGUAAUGCGAAGGGGGCUAGCGUUGCUCGGAAUUACUGGGCGUAAAGGGAGCGUAGGCGGAUGAAUUAGUCAGGGGUGAAAUCCCGGGGCUCAACCUCGGAACUGCCUUUGAUACUGUUCAUCUUGAGUAUGGGAGAGGUGUGUGGAACUCCGAGUGUAGAGGUGAAAUGCGUAGAGAUGUGGAGGAACACCAGUGGCGAAGGCGACUCUCUGGUCUGUAACUGACGCUGAGGAGCGAAAGCGUGGGGAGCGAACAGGAUUAGAUACCCCCGUAGUCCCUGUCUCUUAUAC
rnacentral:rRNA from 1 species